CCUACGGGAGGCAGCAGUGGGGAAUCUUGCGCAAUGGGCGAAAGCCUGACGCAGCGACGCCGCGUGUGGGAUGACGGCCUUCGAGUUGUAAACCACUGUCGGGAAGGACGAAGCUCUGACGGUACCCACAGAAGAAGCCCCGGCCAACUACGUGCCAGCAGCCGCGGUAAU
rnacentral:rRNA from 1 species